rnacentral:misc_RNA from 1 species
AAGAGUUUUGGUACUUUUUGGGUACCUACUCCCACCAUUUGUGAACUUUUUUCGUUGCUUUGGCGGACCAGUGGUACCCCCACCCUCGGCGCAAAGCUGGGGAGUUGUUCGCCAGAGGAUUUUCAAACUCGUUUUAAAACAUGAAAUCUGAGUACAAACACAAGAAUCA